rnacentral:misc_RNA from 1 species
GCAAACUUGGUCAUUUAGAGGAAGUAAAAGUCGUAACAAGGUCUCCGUUGGUGAACCAGCGGAGGGAUCAUUACCAGAGCGCCUUCAGGCACUCCAACCCACUGUGAACAUACCUACGUUCCCCUGGCGGGCUCAGCGCGCGCGGCCUCGGCCGCGGGCGUCCGCCGGGGGCAGACCAAACCCGUUUUUACAGCGUGUAUCUGAGGGGCGACAGCCCGUAAAACAAAUAAAUCAAAACUUUCAACAACGGAUCUCUUGGCUCUGGCAUCGAUGAAGAACGCAGC